rnacentral:rRNA from 1 species
GACGUAGGGCGCGAGCGUUGUCCGGAAUUAUUGGGCGUAAAGAGCUCGUAGGCGGUCUGUCGCGUCGGCUGUGAAAACCCGAGGCUCAACCUCGGGCCUGCAGUCGAUACGGGCAAACUAGAGUACUGCAGGGGAGACUGGAAUUCCUGGUGUAGCGGUGAAAUGCGCAGAUAUCAGGAGGAACACCGGUGGCGAAGGCGGGUCUCUGGGCAGUAACUGACGCUGAGGAGCGAAAGCGUGGGGAGCGAACAGG